AAUUAACAAUGUUAGAAAUGAUAAAAGUAUGGAUAAAAUUAUCAGAUUAUUUUUUCUUAUUUUCAGUUUUUAUAAAACAAUUCAUCAUUUGAAGCCCCAAACCAAAAGGUAACUAACUGUAUUAUCUUUCUCUUCAGAUACAUCAAAGAAAACCAACAAUAUGAAGAGAUAAGAAUGAGGAAUGCCUGUUGGAUUUGGAACCUCCAAAGGACCCAAAAGCAAGAGAAUAUAAGAGGCCUCCUCAUCACAAAUAAAAGAGCUGAGAGAAAAUGUUUCAAGAUGCUUCACUGGAAAAACUCACCAGGUGCCUGUAACUAAUUUCUCUAAUUGGCAUUCUCACUCUCACAUUCAAAACUUUCACAAUGAACAUACAACACAAUCAAUGAUUACCAGCCAGUAGGGAAGUGGGUCUUAAGUAAUCAAAUAAGAAACUGAGAACAUGCUUUAAAUAGAAAAGAAAGAGAGAAAACACAAAAAUAACUCGUAGUAUUUCCAAAGAAACAAGAGGUGAUCAAAUAUCCACAAAACAAGAACCUUAGCCAAAGCAAAUAAGCAGAAUAAGAAAAAUUUCUUAGAAAUUAAAACAUGGCAUGUCAGAAUCACUUAAGUGCCUAAGUGACAAUAUAUGUUAAAGCCCAAAAUACAGUUAAACAAUAUAUUAUUCAUCUGUGGAAAGAUUUAUGAGCAAAGAAUAUAUAAAGAACUAAUAUGUUGAGUUACAGAUUAGCAUCCCAAGUGCAAUUAACUAUUGUUUUAAUUUAGAAACAUAAUUACAACGCAAAAGGUAAUAUUUUAGUUCUUAGAAAUGUAAUAGGCAAAAGAUGAAAAAGAUACAUACACAUGCAUUAGGCUAUGUAGAUGCUUUAACAUUUCCCUUUCAGAGUAAAAUUCAAGAGAAUUUAAACAAUGAAAUCCACCAAAUGGCCAUUUAAAUAAUUGUGGAAAAAAUUUUAUAUGCCUGCUCAUAUUACAAUUGAAAUUAUCUUGGAAAUUGUUUUCAAAUGAAGAAGACAUUAUUAUUUUUAGAACCUUUUAUUCUAUUUUAUCAAAUGUCACUUAUACUGGUCUUUCAUUAUUCUUCAGGUUAGACACUAUUCAAGGGUAUUAAUGUUGAGGAAAUGGACCCAUUUUUCUUUUACUUACAUGUUAUUUAGAAAUUUGAAAUAAUUUCUCAUAGAAAAAUAUUCAUGUCAUAUUGUCUAUAAAAAUCACUAAAUGUAACUGCUGUAUUUCAUUAUUUUAAGUAAUAUUAUUGAUAUCAUUGGAUUCUUCAUGAAUUUAAAAUAAAC
rnacentral:lncRNA from 10 species